rnacentral:rRNA from 1 species
AAGUAUUAAAAAGGUCUGCCUGCCCAGUGAAAUUUUUCAACGGCCGCGGUAUCCUAACCGUGCAMAAGGUAGCGCAAUCCCUUGCCCCUUAAUUAGGGGGCUAGUAUGAACGGCAAAAUGAGGGCUCAACUGUCUCCCUAUGACUAGGCAAUGAAAUUGAAAAUCCAGUACAAACGCUGGAAUAUUCACAUAAGACGAGAAGACCCUGUGGAACUUUUAAUUAUUAUAUUAGCAACCCACUAACUAACAUCUAACACCCUAAUAAAAUUUUCAGUUGGGGCAACUGCGGAGAAAAAUAGAACCUCCACUUAAUCACGACUUAUCACCGAACCUAAGGCCAACAUGCCGACAAGAAAACAUUUGAUYCSGCACAGCCGACUAACGAACCAAGCUACCCCAGGGAUAACAGCGCCAUCCCCUUCAAGAGUCCAUAUCGCCAAGGGGGUUUACGACCUCGAUGUUGGAUCAGGACCCCCCGGUGGUGUAGCCGCUACCAAAGGUUCGUUUGUUCAACGAAUAACGUCCU